rnacentral:rRNA from 1 species
UACGUAGGGUGCGAGCGUUUGUCCGGAAUUAUUGGGCGUAAAGAGCUUGUAGGCGGUCUGUCGCGUCUGCUGUGAAAAUCCGGGGGCUCAACCCCCGGACUUGCAGUGGGGUACGGGCAGACUAGAGUGUGGUAGGGGAGACUGGAAUUCCUGGUGUAGCGGUGAAAUGCGCAGAUAUCAGGAGGAACACCGAUGGCGAAGGCAGGUCUCUGGGCCACUACUGACGCUGGAGAAG